UGGGGAGUAGCCAAGUGGUAAGGCAAUGGACUCUGGCUCCAUGAUCGGGGGUUCGAAUCCCUCCUCCCCAGCCA
rnacentral:tRNA from 1 species